rnacentral:rRNA from 1 species
AUUGAACGCUGGCGGCAGGCUUAACACAUGCAAGUCGAGCGAGCGGCGGACGGGUGAGUAAUGUCUGGGAAACUGCCUGAUGGAGGGGGAUAACUACUGGAAACGGUAGAUAAUACCGCAAAACAUCAGAUGUGCACAGAUGGGAUUAGCUAGUAGGUGGGGUAAUGGUUCACCUAGGCGACGAUCCCUAGCUGGUCUGAGAGGAUGACCAGCCACACUGGCACUGAGACACUGUCCAGACUCCUACGUGAGGCAGCAGUGGGGAAUAUUGCACAAUGGGCGCAAGCCUGAUGCAGCCAUGCCGCGUGUAUGAAGAAGGCCUUCGGGUUGUAAAGCACUUUCAGCGAGGAGGCGUUACUCGCAGAAGAAGCACCGGCUAACUCCGUGCCAGCAGCCGCGGUAAUAC